AAGGGCACCACAAGAACGCGUGGAGCAUGUGGCUUAAUUUGACCCAACGCGGGAAAUCUUACCGGGUCCGGACACACUGAGGAUUGACAGGCGAAAAACAGUUAGCUGCUUGCAGCUAACUGUCACCAAACAUGAUAGUCCUUUCAUGAUUGUGUGAUAGGUGGUGCAUGGCCGUUCUUAGUUCGUGGAGUGAUCUGUCUGCUUAAUUGCGUUUCAGAAAGAGCAUUUGGCAAUAAGCUGUAGCUUGUAGCUGCCCUCUUAACGGAGUUGUGCGCUCAAGUUACACAGCCAUUCAUUGCUCUGAAGCAACGAACGUGACCG
rnacentral:rRNA from 1 species